AAUGUGCAGUGAGAAGAUACAAGUUUUUAAAAAAUUUUCAGAAGACUCCAGUGAAUCAGGUGGUACCAUAAGUGCUGACGAUUGUAUAACCACUUCUGAACAGUUACAUAUUUUUAAUCUUAAUGUACAAGGUUCGUCUAACAAAACAUCAUUAAUUGAAAACUUUGUUGCUGAUUUUGAGUUCUCUUUUUUAUUUCUGUGUGAACACUGGUAUAAUAACCAAUAUAUAGAAAAUGAUUUUUUAAAUAAUUUUAGGCUAAUCAGCCAUUUUCCACGCUAUAAUAACGUAAGGAGUGGAACCUCAAUAUUAGUAAAAAACGAUUUAAGCAGAGAGUGUCAGCCUUUGAAUUUCAUUAACAAACUGUCAAUCGAAAUGAUUAUUGAGGUAUCUGGUAUAACUUUCAGGAGAGACUACUUACUGUCUUAUCAAUAUUUAUAGAAGACCCUCUGAUAAACCCGAGGAUUUGGAUAAGUUUUCGAGCAAUUUACACAUAUUUUAACUGUUGCCUAUAGUAAAUUUAAGUAUGUCAUAAUUGGUGGUGAUUUUAAUAUAUGUCAGUUUGAAAACUUAA
rnacentral:lncRNA from 1 species